GAAAGCGCCAAAUAGAUAAUUUUUUCCCCUCGGUGUAAUACUCAAAGUUAGAAAAAAAUUAGUGUCCUAUAGAGACUUAAAAAAAAGUGUUUACUCUCACUCCAAACACUGUUACCUUAUCUCUUUCUCAUCUUCUCCUUGUCCGAUCAGCCACAGAACAACGAGAUUGAUAAGAGGAGGAUGACCGAAAGUUGUGAACGGAUCCAGGCUGAGUUGGGUCGGAUCGAGGAAGAAACCCCGACGACUUUGGGUUGUCUCGCCGUAGAUCUGGGUUGGGGCUCGAAAACGCUGGUGGCAGGAGUGAGAUUAUGUGGUGGAAUUUUACAGGUAUUCACCUUUGUCGGUCUUAGUUUUCAAAUUAUGGUUUUAGUUUAGAACACAUACUCUUGCGGUGAGACUCUGUUCUAUAUUUGUUUCAGAAUUUAUUACCGGAGGAGUGGUCGUGACGUUGGUGGAAGGAGGUCGGUGAGGAGACAAGGGAUUAGAGAAGUGGCGGGCUAAUCAGAGAUGCAAGUAGCAGGAGGAGGAUGACGAUGAUGAUUGAUGAGAGAGCCGUCGAUGCUGGUUCGUGAAUCAGCGGUGGAGCAGCUCGAGGAGAGGCAAAACGAUUGGGCUGACUCAAACGAUGAGAAGUCCAAUACGCCGCUCAGGGUUUUGAUUAUUGGGUAUGGGUUGCAAUGUGUGAUGCAUAUGUUUUGUGUUUGUGUUGAGUAUCGUAAGAGAAGUAAUAGGAUUCAAAUCUCUCCUUAUUCUAUGGAGGAUCAAUACUUAGAGAGUGGAAGCCAAAGUUUUGCUAAGCAUCUAGAGUAUGCAAAUACAAUGUUCUCAUUUAUAUGGUGGACUAUUUGAUUCUAUUGGGUAUCUUCUGGUGGCCAAGAGCUAACACAAGGAUCACCUCAGCUUUAAUGGUUUUGUAUAGUGUUUCUUGGUAUCAAUGUGUUCUUUGUGGUUUUCUAUGUUGCACUGGCUUGUGUGGUCGGCAUUGCGGGUUGCUGCUGCUUCCAUUGCAUCAUUGCAGUUCUAUACGCAGUGGCAAAACAUCUUCUUUUGAGUUGUUGAGGAAGGAACGUCAAAAAGUAUUCCAGGAGACGCAAAAAUCAAACCCAGACUUGCGUAAAAACGACUUCGAUUUUACUGAGAAGCAAGUAGAAGUGAUGAAGUCCAAACUCUCGGGAGUGAGGAAAGUAAUGAGGCGGAGAUGAGCAGCGGCGAGAUAAACUAGAACUUUGUGAUAGAAUAAAUUAGAUCUUAAGACUUGUGAUUGUUAUAUACUUAUAUUGCGAGAUGAUAUUUAUUUGUCAAUUUACAUGUAGCACUAUUAUUUAUAUAUGAGCAUUUGGUUGAUUCUGAAUUUUGAUCAAUAGAUACAUCUUCGUAUACGUUUCAAAAGAAAAAUCUAACACUAAUAAUAAUUUAGAAAAAAACAAAAAUAAUUUUUUUAGCUCAAGUUCUAAACCCUAAACAUGCCCUGAACCCUAAUUACAUAUCUCAAACACUAUAUCAUAAAUAUAACUUUCAACAAUAAUAAUAAUAAUAUUUUAAACUUGAAUUCAAAAUCUUAAAUACAAAACUCUAAAUUUAAUCAUUUCUGAAUUUUGAUCUCAACCUAUAUAUUUAAUUCUAAAUUCCAAAACCAUAAUUCUAUUACUUUUGCAACGGAUAGUGCUCAAUUGGUGAAGAUUGUGUCGGAACCAGAAGAGUGGCCAACCUUUGCAAGCUAUUUGGAAGACAUAAAAGUUUUAAAGAGGAGUUUUAACAGCUCAGAGAUCAUUCAUAUACCACGGACACAGAACUUAAAGGCGGACAGUCUCGCACGCAGUGCAAGAAAGCAACCGUCGUUUGUCGUCCAUAUGGAUGCAGAGCUACCGGGGUGGUUCGCAGAGUCUACAUGAGUCUGCUUUGUUUGCUGACAAAAAAAAAAAAAAAAAAAACCAUAAUUCUAUACCCUAAACUCUAUUUCACAAACCAUAAUUCCAUUUCAUAUACCCUAAAUUCUAAGCCUAAACAUAUUCCCUACAUCAUAAAUCUAAACAUCAAAUCUAAUAUUUUAAGUUAAACUCCAAAUCUUAAAAGUAACAAGCGUAAACUUUAUCUAAUAAAAUGUAAAGACAUUUAUCUUGACUCCAAACUCUGUUUUACAACAUUUAAAACCAUUGUUUAUGUAAAUUAUAAUAAAAAAAUGGUUGUUUCUUAUUGGUCCAUUUAGACAAGGUGUGGAUCACCCUUUUAAAAAUCUUGUCCGUUGGUAGAUGUUAAUCUAACGGUUCAGGAUCGUUACAUUAGUAUUAUGUUUUUUGUUUUGUUUUCUCUCUUUCCUCCUCUCAUCUGUCGAUCUCCAUCUUCUCUUUCUCCCUUCCGUAGAUCUGUUCUUCUCUUUUCUCGUAUAAUUUCUGUAUCUCUUCUCCUCUGUUUUUUUUUCUCUCAAGAAUCAUAAGUUUUCUUCUCCGAUCCAUCAUCCUCUUUCAGAAUCGUGCCGAGUCGAAGGAACCAGGCCAUUUCGUAAAUGGCGAAUCCAGAGCAUGAAGAUGGGAUAUGUUUACAAGAGGCAAAGACUUGUCGGAGUGCCGGAGGAAGGCAUAGAGGCGUCGGCGGAUACGCACCGGAGUGAUGUCAGAAGGAGGACGGAGACGUGACCUGAGCCGUUCCAGAUAACCACAAUGGAAAGUGGAGGAUGCAGCAGAAGCUUAACGUUGGAGGAGGCAAGGCGUGGUCUCCGCAGCGAUGGUGCAAGGCGUGGUCUCCGCAGCGAUGGUGCAAGGCGUGGUCUCCGCAGCGGUGGUUCAAGGUGGUCUGGUGGCAGUCACAGUUGUGGUGGUGCGGCGGAGAGAACAUGACCUUUAGGGUUGAUGGCGAGGAAGACAAUUUUUUUAGGUUUAGGGUGUUUAGAUUUGGUUUAGAAAUGCAAACCGAUUUUCAUUUGUAAACAGAUAUUUAUUUGUAAACCGAUUUCAAUUUAUAUAUUAUUAUGUCGAAGAUUUUAA